rnacentral:rRNA from 1 species
GACGAACGCUGGCGGCGUGCUUAACACAUGCAAGUCGAACGGAAAGGCCCUGCUUUUGUGGGGUGCUCGAGUGGCGAACGGGUGAGUAACACGUGAGUAACCUGCCCUUGACUUUGGGAUAACUUCAGGAAACUGGGGCUAAUACCGGAUAGGAGCUCCUGCUGCAUGGUGGGGGUUGGAAAGUUUCGGCGGUUGGGGAUGGACUCGCGGCUUAUCAGCUUGUUGGUGGGGUAGUGGCUUACCAAGGCUUUGACGGGUAGCCGGCCUGAGAGGGUGACCGGCCAAAUUGGGACUGAGAUAGGGCCCAGACUCCUACGGGAGGCAGCAGUGGGGAAUAGUGCACAAUGGGCGGAAGCCUGAUGCAGCAACGCCGCGUGCGGGAUGACGGCCUUCGGGUUGUAAACCGCUUUCGCCUGUGACGAAGCGUGAGUGACGGUAAUGGGUAAAGAAGCACCGGCUAACUACGUG